rnacentral:misc_RNA from 1 species
GCUGCUGCUGCUGCUGCUGCUGAUAAAAAUCUAAAGGGCUAAUUCCUGAAGAGUGAGCUCUGUGAUUGCCGGUAAGACUCCUGAAGAACUGAUCACUUUCAUUAACCGGUGGCCAGAGAGAUUCAAUAUGCCUCUCUUCUUCCAUAUUCAUACGCUGUCUCAAUCCCAUAGGCAACUGCCUUGCCUGCAGCUGUUCUUGAAGAAUUUGAUGCUCUAAAGAUUGAAUUUGACCAUGCUGGGCAUGAGAUAAUAGCUCAAAUAAAUCUCUCUGUUGAUCUUGCUGUAAUGCCUGACCAAAUUUUGCUUGAGCAAGCUGUUCAACAGAUGGAACAAAGUGCCUUUGAGGAUGUUGAGACCGUUGUUGCAGCUCAUGUAGAAGUUGUUGCUCCAACAGAACUUGAUCAAGAACAUUGUUAGCUCUAAUAGGAUCAACACGUGAUUGUACAAGGGCAGGGUCAGGCAUCUGACCAUGUAGCAACUGUUCAAGGAGCACCUGCCGAGCUUGUGAUUGCUGUCGUUCCUGCAAAAGCUUUUGCUGUUGAUGAAACUGCUGCUGUUGUUGUUGGAGCUGAAGCUGCCGCUGUUGCUGCAGCUGAAGUGCCAAAAGAUGUUCCAGAUCUGGCACAGGAUGGUUGAUCAACCGCUGAUGAUGAAUAAGAUUCUGCCCUGGCAUAUUUUCUUGAAGUGAUUCAUUCAAGUGUGAAUGAGAUAAUAUUCGUUGCUGCUGUUGCUGCUGAAAUUGUCGUGACAUAAGCUGCUCUGCUAGGUCAAAAUGAUUAGGCUCUUGUUCAACACGUGACAAAUGGCGAGCAGCAGUGGCAUCUUGAAAUGAGUUAGGGACAGAAAGAAUAUCUUGUCUAUAAAUAUCAGACCAUUUCUCCGCAAUAGCAGCUGGAUCAGUGAUAGCACCAAGUUGAGCAGGCCUUACCAUACUGGAAGGCAUAUCAGAUGACUCAGUUUGUCUAGUUUGAGAGCCUUCAAGUUCAGACCAGAACAAGCCAAAAGGGUGCAACUUAUUAUCGCUCUGAUAUGGUAAACCAGGUUUUGUCAAUUCAUUUGGAAGAGAUGGUUGACCAUUAGAUUUUGCUACAGGAUCACAAACAUUCCCCGAUGAUUGCACAGUAGGAUAGCCACUACUGCCAGGUCUUCCUGGAAAAACAAUUUCUUCAUCAUGUGCAAUAAAGUCAUGAAAGCUUUGGCCCUCAGAAUGUGGCAACUGAAGUGGAUUUUCAGGCUCAGACAUUCUUGACUGAACAUGCUGAGCUGAGAAGCUAGUUAAAUCGGACAAUGGCUGACACAGCUCAUUUAUUACAUCGGUAUUUUCUGGAGCAGUAAGAGGUAAACUAGGCUUCAACUUUCCUCCUAAAGCACCAGACUGUUCCUGCUCAGAACUGGGAUACACUCCUCUCAGUUUUAGGUGUGGCAUCACCUCUCCCAAACUUUGGAAAGGUGUGCCUUCAGGAGCAUCUGCCAAGCGAACUGGCAAAUCUGUCCCAAAAUAGCCCUCUUCAAACCACAUGAUGAUGUCAGCUCCAAGAAAUGGUCCUUGAGUAUUCCCAUGAGGAUCAACAUAAUCGAAGUAAAGGUCCUCAAGUGGUGCACCCCUUUCCAGAUCUUUUGCCUCACUUUUACUAGCCAAGUGCAACAUAGCACUACUAUGGUCUUGAUCGGGAGAGGGGAGAACAAAUAGCGAGUUUGAAUCAUCAGGAAGCUUAGAUUUAACAUCAAAAGAAGAGGUUGAGUCAACUCUGUCAGAAUGAAAAUGUGCAGUCAAAGCAGAGUUCACUAUCUGUCCAUUAUCACAAAUAUCAAUCUGAGAAGCAACACGGGAAGAAUUGACAAUCUCUUUUGUAGUCCCAGCAACAUCGCAUUCCAAAACUGUGGCAGUGACUUCAUCAGCAGUAACCUUGUUUCCUUCAUGAUCAACCUCUUUUUCAUUUAAUACAUUUAAACAUGAAUCAUGAUUCCAAAAGGAAUGAUCACCGUCAGUUUGAUAUGCACCAUUGUUUGCGGCGUCUUGAAAUGUAUCAGCAGUCUCCUCACAGGGAACUGAGGGGAGGAUACCCAGUUUUCCCUCAUUGGAUUCAUAGUCUCCAUUACCUGAAACAUUUUCAGUUGACCACCCUUUUCUAAAAGAAUUAUAUACUACCCCACUACUUGUGAUCUUGCCCCUCCAUAUGUCAGCAAGAGUAACCUCCUCUUCAGCAUCAGGAGAAACAAAGGCCAAUGGUUCAAUAAUGUCAGAUUGAGUUAUUGGUAAACAUUCCUCCAUUUCAUCAGGCAUUGCAGCAAAAGAUGAAUCAAGCUUCCGCCUACGGUAAAUAUCAAGGAGCUUACCCCUUGGAUAACAAAAUGUCUCCAAUGUGGGGUUUGGCUUUCCAAUAACACUUCCACUUUUAUAUGCGUGAGGAGCAGUAGCAGUGCCUGCAGAUGAAGAUCUACCAAUGGCAUUUGACCUUCCUCGUCCAAGAGCAAACCCCAAAUUUGAACCUUCACCCCGACCUCUCUCAAGUCCAAAUCCAGGUGCAGCACGGUAGGAAUUGGAACCUGUGGAAUGAACCUCCAUUCUAUGCCGUGGUCUCCACUUAUCACGAGAAUCUGAGUCACGCUCAGAAGCAGAACGGUUGCUAACUAUAGAUGAUUGAUUGUCAUAGUGAGCAUCGUCCUUCUCUUUAUCCACAUCCGUCCUCUUUUCAGUUCGUGAUUCCUUCUCCUUGUCUUCGGGACCCCACCUAGAGGACCAUUUGCUAUCUCGCCGUGCUUCAUGCCCAGAGUUACGGUUACUACCCUCAUGCCACCUAUCAGGGGAUGGAAAGGCUCUAUUCUCCAUUGUUUCUCUGACAGAAACACUGUCAGCACGACGAUCUGUUUUCCUACGAUCUCUUCGAGGACCAAGUAAGCCAGUUUCCCUUUCCUCUUCACGCCAACGGCGGCUACUUUCAUUCUCAGUGGCAGUCCUCCUCCAUUCUUUUUUUUCCUCGGUUCCAUCGAAACGCCAACCAUCCUUCUGACUUGGAUCAGCGGAAUUCCCAAGAGACACUGAAGUUAGAGAACGCAUGUCCUGUCAUACACCCAUGGAAAGUGACCCACCAUGAAACAAUACUAAUAACAACACUGGAAGAAAGAAAAUAAUGGAAAAAUGAAGCCAGAAAAAAUGACAAACAGAAACAACACAUUCUCAAGGCUGAGGCCUAGUGGCAUCUGAUAGACUACCUAGUAUGAUGUUAAGGAUUUAUCUUUCAAAUCAUGUCAGCAGGAAGAUCACGAUAAUAAACAGAGCUUAGAUUUUUGCAUCUUAAUUAGCUCUAGAAUUCUUUGGAGACAAAUAAGCAAGAAUAAUAAAACAUUUCUCAAAGUUUCACUUGUAAAGUAACUCCAAACCUCAAAAGAUGUCUUAAGCUUUAAAAGAAGCCCUAGGGCAAGGCAUAUGCACAAGCACUACAUGUACAUGAGGAUAAAGAUAUAAAGUAUUCCCUUCUUUCCACUUCACAAAAUUUAUUAUUAAGCAUAGGAAUGUCAACUGAUGCAAAACCCAGGUUCACAAAGCCACAAAAUAGAAGCAAAAAGAAUUUUUAACCGAAAGGCAGAAAGAAAGUUGCUUCUGAAUGAUAAUAAAUUUAGUGUCAAUAUAAGAAGUGCAGAGUCUCACAAGAAAUAUCUCUUUUCACAGAUUCACAGUUGCAAAUUCAUGAGUUCACAGAUGAGGACCAAGUGACAAUACAAGCAAAUUUAUAAUUAUUAUAAGAAUUACAGACUAGAAUAAAAUAAAAUAAUCUUGUUUGGUUGAACUAAAAUAUACCACCUUGGUGUCACUUGGUUUGCUAUAAAGCCACUGAGGAGACAAAGGUAUGCUGCUUUCUGAAGCCACUUGAUCUUUGGUCUCAUCAUGUAAUCCCACAGGAACUUUUUCCUCAUCACUUCCCAAAGCUUCCACUUUAGGGACGGUCCAGGAGUGAUCGGACCGUUUAGAGGAAAGGAGAUCGUCAGGCAGAUCGAGCUUUCCUUCGGCCAUCGGUCGGUGAAGAAAUAGAGGAAUCAAAAAAGCUAAAAAAAAAAAAACGGGUGUAAGAGAAAAUGAGAAAGAGAGGGGGUGAGGAUCGAAACAGGUCAGAAUCAGAGGGAUGAGAAAGGGCGAAGGCGUAAGGACCAAUUGGAGAAGAGAAGAUAAGUAGAAGAAUAACAAGGAGGAGAUUGAGAGCCACUGGUACUGGGUUUGGGAGUUCUAGGGUUUUCAAGCUCUGAUGGAAAAUUACCUUUGCAGGCUGCAGCGAGCGAGAGAGAUAGGGAGGAGAGCGACGCGAGGAGGGCUGGGCUUUUGCUUAGGGGGUCAGAAGAGCG